rnacentral:rRNA from 1 species
UACGUAGGGUGCAAGCGUUGUCCGGAAUUAUUGGGCGUAAAGAGCUUGUAGGCGGUUUGUCGCGUCUGCUGUGAAAUUUCGGGGCUCAACCCCGAACUUGCAGUGGGUACGGGCAGACUAGAGUGUGGUAGGGGAGACUGGAAUUCCUGGUGUAGCGGUGAAAUGCGCAGAUAUCAGGAGGAACACCGAUUGCGAAGGCAGGUCUCUGGGCCACUACUGACGCUGAGAAGCGAAAGCAUGGGGAGCGAACAGG